rnacentral:rRNA from 1 species
UACAGAGGGUGCAAGCGUUAAUCGGAAUUACUGGGCGUAAAGCGUGCGCAGGCGGUGAUGUAAGACAGUUGUGAAAUCCCCGGGCUCAACCUGGGAACUGCAUCUGUGACUGCAUCGCUGGAGUGCGGCAGAGGGGGAUGGAAUUCCGGCGUGUAGCAGUGAAAUGCGUAGAUAUGCGGAGGAACACCGAUGGCGAAGGACAAUCUCCUGGG